rnacentral:rRNA from 1 species
UACGUAGGCAGCGAGCGUUGUUCGGAAUUACUGGGCGUAAAGAGUGUGUAGGCGGUGUUCCCAGUCUGUUGUGAAAUCUCCCGGCUUAACUGGGAGGGUGCAGCGGAAACUAGAAUGCUAGAGGGUGGGAGAGGUAAGCGGAAUUCCUGGUGUAGCGGUGAAAUGCGUAGAUAUCUGGAGGAACACCGGUGGCGAAGGCGGCAUCCUGGACCAACACUGACACUGAGGAGCGAAAGCCAGGGGAGCAAACGGG